ensembl:lncRNA
CCGGUGUCGGCACAUAUUUACUUUAAUUUCAAUUCAGGCUAGAAUUUUUUUUGUGUGCGCAACGCAGAUUUUCUCUGCGCAGAGACCGUGCCAACAGUGCGCAAUUGCGCACGUGCACAGCUUAGAGGGAACAUUGCUAACUAGUACAACCACAGUCACAUCUCUUGGCCACUGAGCAGCUUCUGUUUAGCAACUCAUGGGUGCCACAGUGUUGUUCAUAAGGAAGAGGUGGUUCUUCUGCUUUCCCAACCAACUUUAAUGUACUACUUAGGAGACCUUCUGUGCUUUUAAUUGCAAUAUUCUGCAAGUUUGCACCAGAUAAGCUUGAGUUUUUGCCAGAUGAGGGCAAUCAGACUCUAAUCCAGUACAAUCAAGAAGGAGGGAGCUCUCCAUGCACGACCGAGCCCAAUUUCUUCCAGUCACAAGUAGAUAAUAUGGCAGCGACAGAUGGCCAGAUGGAUAAUAUGCAGAUUGAUACAGGACCAUAUGACAUAAAUAGGUACAACAGCUCAGUGUCUACCAUG